rnacentral:siRNA from 1 species
GCUGGCCAACCCAGUCGUGGUCA